GUAAACGGCGGCCGUAACUAUAACGGUCCUAAGGUAGCGAAAUUCCUUGUCGGGUAAGUUCCGACCUGCACGAAUGGCGUAAUGAUGGCCAGGCUGUCUCCACCCGAGACUCAGUGAAAUUGAACUCGCUGUGAAGAUGCAGUGUACCCGCGGCAAGACGGAAAGACCCCGUGAACCUUUACUAUAGCUUGACACUGAACAUUGAGCCUUGAUGUGUAGGAUAGGUGGGAGGCUUUGAAGUGUGGACGCCAGUCUGCAUGGAGCCGACCUUGAAAUACCACCCUUUAAUGUUUGAUGUUCUAACGUUGACCCGUGAUCCGGGUUGCGGACAGUGUCUGGUGGGUAGUUUGACUGGGGCGGUCUCCUCCUAAAGAGUAACGGAGGAGCACGAAGGUUGGCUAAUCCUGGUCGGACAUCAGGAGGUUAGUGCAAUGGCAUAAGCCAGCUUGACUGCGAGCGUGACGGCGCGAGCAGGUGCGAAAGCAGGUCAUAGUGAUCCGGUGGUUCUGAAUGGAAGGGCCAUCGCUCAACGGAUAAAAGGUACUCCGGGGAUAACAGGCUGAUACCGCCCAAGAGUUCAUAUCGACGGCGGUGUUUGGCACCUCGAUGUCGGCUCAUCACAUCCUGGGGCUGAAGUAGGUCCCAAGGGUAUGGCUGUUCGCCAUUUAAAGUGGUACGCGAGCUGGGUUUAGAACGUCGUGAGACAGUUCGGUCCCUAUCUGCCGUGGGCGCUGGAGAACUGAGGGGGGCUGCUCCUAGUACGAGAGGACCGGAGUGGACGCAUCACUGGUGUUCGGGUUGUCAUGCCAAUGGCACUGCCCGGUAGCUAAAUGCGGAAGAGAUAAGUGCUGAAAGCAUCUAAGCACGAAACUUGCCCCGAGAUGAGUUCUCCCUGACUCCUUGAGAGUCCUGAAGGAACGUUGAAGACGACGACGUUGAUAGGCCGGGUGUGUAAGCGC
rnacentral:rRNA from 1 species